UAUAUGUAUUUUAAAAUUAUUAAAACGGCUCCAAAUUUUUUCUACAUAUUAUCAUCACUCGGAAAUGGUGUACCAUACAAUAUUAUGGUGCAUUCUCUUUAACCCCAUACUAAAUUAAAUCAACAUGAUUUGUGACAUGACUGAAAGUACAAGAGUCAUCAUGCCACCAGCAAAGGACUACAACGCAAAAGCUUCAUAUGGGCGAUCACUUUCAAAUAAUGAAACCACAAUGUCAGCGCGUGUCUACCACCCGGCGACAAAUUUAAUACCACC